AGAGUUGAUCAUGGCUCAGAUUGCACGCUGGCGGUAUGCUUAACACAUGCAAGUCGAACGGUAACAGUCCCUCACCUAGAAAUUUCUUAAAAAGAGAUUUGUAGGUGAGGGAGCUGACGAGCGGCGGACGGGUGCGUAAUGUAUAGGAAUCUGCCUAGUAGUGGGGGACAACUCGGAGAAAUUCGAGCUAAUACCGCAUAAGCCCUACGGGGGAAAACGGGGGAUCUUCGGACCUCGUGCUAUUAGAUGAGCCUAUAUUAGAUUAGCUUGUUGGUGAGGUAAUGGCUUACCAAGGCGACGAUCUAUAGCUGGUCUGAGAGGAUGAUCAGCCACACUGGGACUGAGACACGGCCCAGACUCCUACGGGAGGCAGCAGUGGGGAAUAUUGGACAAUGGGCGAAAGCCUGAUCCAGCAAUACCGCGUGUGUGAAGAAGGCCUGAGGGUUGUAAAGCACUUUCAAUUGGGAGGAAUACCUAAUAGUUAAUAGCUAUUAGAUUGACA
rnacentral:rRNA from 1 species